UUAAGGAUUUAAUUGUUAUAUUUAAUUAAUAUUAAUAGAUAUAUUAUUUUUGUUAUGUGAUUGAUUUUAUUUUUUGAAAACGAUAGGGAAGAGUAUUGUGAAAGAUUUUUGAAAAAUUGAAAAAGGAUUUUUUUUGAAGUAAUGAAUUUGUACCUUUUGUAUUAGGGAUUAAUUAGAUAGAUUAAAUAUUUAUAUUUCUCGAAGAAUUUUGAGCUACUUUUAUUUAAAGACAUUGUUGUAAAAAUGUUAGAUAUUAUUAGGUAGAAAUGAAAUUUUUGUCGAAAAAUUUGAUAUCUGGUUGUUAUGAAAAAUUAUAUAUUUUAGAUAAUUUUUUUUUUUUUAGAAUUAUUAUUUUUCUUUUUGGGGAUAAGCUUAAAAAGUUUUUAUAAAGGUUGAAAUUUUGUGCUGAGGGUUUAGAAAUUACUUAAUUAUUUGUAAUAAAAUAGCAUUGUGAGAAUUUAGUAUUUAUUUUUAAGUUUUUUGUUUAAUUGGAUGCAGAAGUAUUAAUAUUAAUAUAAGUAUAAUCUUUGCUAGGUGGAUAUAAUUGAAUUAGAUUGUUUUAGAUUUUAUUAAGUUAAUAGGAAUUAGGCAAGAAUAAUUUUUGUCUGUUUAACAAAAACAUAGUAUUUUGAGAUAAUAAAAUAUUUGGCCUGCUCAAUGAUUAUUAAAUUGCUGUGGUAUUUUGACUAUACGAAGGUAUUGAAAUAAGGCUUUUAUUGGGUACUAAGAGAAUGGUUGAACAGGGAUUUACUUUCUUUUAACUUAAAAUGGAAAUUGAUUUAAAAAUGAAAAAGUUUUUAUGAAUUUUUGGGACAAGAAGACCCUAUGAAUUUUUUUUAUAUAUAUAUUUUUAAUUUUUAUUUAAAGAAAGUAAAAUAUUUAUAUAGGUUGAUUGGGGUGAUUUUUAAAGAAUAUAUAUCUUUAAAAAUGAUGAAAUUAGAACCAUAAUUUUUGGUUAUUUGAUUAAAAUACUCUAGGGAUAACAGCGUAAUUAUUUUGGAUAGUUCAUAUAGAUAAAAUAGUUUGCGACCUCGAUGUUGGAUUAAGAUGCUUGUAUAAUGAAGUAGUUAUAUAAAGGAGUUUGCUCAACUUUUAAAUUCUUACAUGAUCUGAGUUCAGACCGGCGUAAGCCAGGUCGGUUUCUAUCUAAAUCAUGAUUUAAUAUUUUUAUAGUACGAAAGGAAUUAAAAGUAUAAAAUUUUUAAGUAAAGUAAAUUUUAAAUUAGGAUAAUUUAUU
rnacentral:rRNA from 1 species